rnacentral:rRNA from 1 species
GACGAACGCUGGCGGCGUGCUUAACACAUGCAAGUCGAGCGGAAAGGCCCUUCGGGGUACUCGAGCGGCGAACGGGUGAGUAACACGUGAGUAAUCUGCCCUUGGCUUCGGGAUAGCCACCGGAAACGGUGAUUAAUACCGGAUACGACCACUCCUGGCAUCAGGUGGUGGUGGAAAGUUUUUCGGCCAGGGAUGUGCUCGCGGCCUAUCAGCUUGAUGGUGAGGUAAUGGCUCACCAUGGCUUCGACGGGUAGCCGGCCUGAGAGGGUGACCGGUCACACUGGGACUGAGACACGGCCCAGACUCCUACGGGAGGCAGCAGUGGGGAAUAUUGGACAAUGGGCGGAAGCCUGAUCCAGCAACGCCGCGCGAGGGAUGACGGCCUUCGGGUUGUAAACCUCUUUCAGCAGGGACGAAGCGCAAGUGACGGUACCUGCAGAAGAAGCACCGGCCAACUACGUGCCAGCCGCCGCGGUAAAAC